rnacentral:rRNA from 1 species
CCUAAUGAGACUGCCGUGACAAGCCGGAGGAAGGUGGGGAUGACGUCAAGUCCUCAUGGCCCUUAUAGGUGGGGCUACACACGUCAUACAAUGGCUGGUACAAAGGGUUGCCAACCCGCGAGGGGGAGCCAAUCCCAUAAAGCCAGUCGUAGUCCGGAUCGUAGUCUGCAACUCGACUACGUGAAGUCGGAAUCGCUAGUAAUCGUGGAUCAGAAUGUCACGGUGAAUACGUUCCCGGGUCUU